rnacentral:rRNA from 1 species
CUUAAGUGGGGAAUAACGCAUCGAAAGGUGUGCUAAUACCGCAUAAUCUCUGAGGAGAAAAGCAGGGGAUCGCAAGACCUUGCGCUUUUGGAGCGGCCGAUGUCUGAUUAGCUUGUUGGUAAGGUAAAAGCUUACCAAGGCUUCGAUCAGUAGCUGGUCUGAGAGGACGACCAGCCACACUGGGACUGAGACACGGCCCAGACUCCUACGGGAGGCAGCAGUGGGGAAUUUUGGACAAUGGGGGCAACCCUGAUCCAGCCAUGCCGCGUGAGUGAAGAAGGCCUUCGGGUUGUAAAGCUCUUUCAGCCGGAACGAAACGGUUACGGUUAAUACCCGUGACUACUGACGGUACCGGAAGAAGAAGCACCGGCUAACUACGUGCCAGCAGCCGCGGUAAUACGUAGGGUGCGAGCGUUAAUCGGAAUUACUGGGCGUAAAGCGUGCGCAGGUGGUUUUGUAAGUCAGAUGUGAAAUCCCCGGGCUCAACCUGGGAACUGCGUUUGAAACUACAAGGCUAGAGUGUGGCAGAGGGGGGUGGAAUUCCGCGUGUAGCAGUGAAAUGCGUAGAGAUGUGGAGGAACACCGAUGGCGAAGGCAGCCCCCUGGGUCAACACCGACGCUCAGGCACGAAAGCAUGGGGAGCAAACAGGAUUAGAUACCCUGGUAGUCCAUGCCCUAAACGAUGUCAACUAGUUGUCGGGCCUUAACGGGCUUGGUAACGUAGCUAACGCGUGAAGUUGACCGCCUGGGGAGUACGAUCGCAAGAUUAAAACUCAAAGGAAUUGACGGGGACCCGCACAAGCGCUGGAUUAUGUGGAUUAAUUCGAUGCAACGCGAAAAACCUUACCUACCCUUGACAUGUAUCGAAGCCCGCAGAAAAGCGGGGGUGCCCGAAAGGGAACGAUAACACAGGUGCUGCAUGGCUGUCGUCAGCUCGUGUCGUGAGAUGUUGGGUUAAGUCCCGCAACGAGCGCAACCCUUGUCAUUAAUUGCCAUCAUUUAGUUGGGCACUUUAAUGAGACUGCCGGUGACAAACCGGAGGAAGGUGGGGAUGACGUCAAGUCCUCAUGGCCCUUAUGGGUAGGGCUUCACACGUAA